CAGCUUGUUGGUGAGGUAACGGCUCACCAAGGUAACGACGGGUAGCUGGUCUGAGAGGACGAUCAGCCACACUGGGACUGAGACACGGCCCAGACUCCUACGGGAGGCAGCAGCAGGGAAUAUUGCGCAAUGGGCGAAAGCCUGACGCAGCGACGCCGCGUGGGGGAUGAAGGUUUUCGGAUUGUAAACCCCUUUCAGGAGGAAAGAAUUUGACGGUACCUCCAAAAGAAGCCCCGGCCAACUACGUGCCAGCAGCCGCGGUAAGACGUAGGGGGCGAGCGUUGUCCGGAAUCAUUGGGCGUAAAGGGCUCGUAGGCGGCUCGGUAAGUCGAUCGUGAAAUCCCGGAGCUCAACUCCGGAACUGCGGUCGAUACUGCCGUGGCUAGAGUCAGGUAGAGGAGAGUAGAAUUCCCGGUGUAGCGGUGGAAUGCGCAGAUAUCGGGAGGAAUACCAUUUAGCGAAGGCGGCUCUCUGGGCCUGUACUGACGCUGAGGAGCGAAAGCGUGGGUAGCAAACAGGAUUAGAUACCCUGGUAGUCCACGCCGUAAACGUUGGGCACUAGGCGUGGUGGCCUGACCAAGGGCUGCUGUGCCGACGCUAACGCAUUAAGUGCCCCGCCUGGGGAGUACGG
rnacentral:rRNA from 1 species